rnacentral:rRNA from 1 species
AUUGAACGCUGGCGGCAGGCCUAACACCUGCAAGUCGAACGAGUGGCGCACGGGUGAGUAAUGUCUGGGAAACUGCCCGCUGGCGGGGGAUAACUACUGGCAACGGUAGCUAAUACCGCAUACCCUCAUAUGUGCCCCGAUGGGAUUAGCUAGUUGGUGGGGGAACGGCUCACAAAGGCGACGAUCCCUAGCUGGUCUGAGAGGAUGACCAGCCACACUGGAACGGAGCCACGGUCCAGACUCCUACGGGAGGCAGCAGUGGGGAAUAUUGCACAAUGGGCGAAAGCCGGAUGGAGCAAUGCCGCGUGGAUGAAGAAGGUCGUCGGGUUGUAAAGUACUUUCAGCGGGGAGGCGUUACCCGCAGAAGAAGCACUGGCUAACUCCGUGCCAGCAGCCGCGGUAAUUC